GGGUUGGGGCGGCGUGUUUGGGAUCUGAGGGGUUCGAGUGUCCGGUGUCGAAGGGUAAGGAGAGAGGAGGCAAGAGGGAGUAGUCGGCAGGGGCGGCGAUAAGAUGGAGAGAGGAGAGACAGGAUACUGGUGCGGCGACCCUCCUUCGCCAGCAAGCACCGAGGUAUGGCGACAGCCCCACGGCACGUUCUCCAGUCCCCGGCGGUGGUGGCACUCGGUCCUGCUUCGCCUGCGGGAAACGCUCGGAGGCCCGUCCUUCGGCUGCCGCUCAUGCGGUAAUUGUUCGGCGGUUCUCCUGGGUGGCCGGUCAGGGGACAGCGGCUCGUUCCCGGCGGGCAACGCAGCAGCACCCUCCUCCGCGUGUCUCCUCGUCGCCUCCUCCUCUACUCCUGUGCGGGGGCCUGAGGGAUAAAGGAAAACCAGCGUGGAAGGGACUCCGCAGAGAGAGAGAACCCGUCGAAGGUAUGUUCUAAACCUACUCCUUUUCCUCUGGGCUACGCCCCGUUGCUGCUCGCGGCCACUCGAUCGACCUGUCCACGGCCCGGGUACCCGCGCUAACCCCUCGACGCGUGUGUAGGUAGCUGCCGCUCGUGUAGCUUGCCGGUGUGUAGUUCUCCCGUUCCCUUCGAACGCGAUGAAAAACCUUCAAUUUCCAACCCGAACGCGUAACUCACUACCGCAACCCUGACCUCCUCGUGUUCCUAGGAGCAUACGGA
rnacentral:rRNA from 1 species